UGAGAGAAGAAGAGACCGAGAAGCCGAGAGGCGUGUCGGAGGAUUGCAUGAGCAAGCACCUCUACUCGUUAGCGAUCUUCUUCACCGACAAGGUCGCCGCCUCACCCCGAUCCCCACCGACAACGCCUCCCACGUCGUUCUCCGCGACCUGCGUUUCCGAUGCCUCGUCGCCAAGUGUUCGGCUUUAGAGAAUUGAGAGGGAGCAAAGGCUCAAUCCUUGUAUUCUUGGGAGGGAGGCUAUUGUUCAUUGCCCAAGUGUGUGCGAGGGAGGGAGUGUUGUAUUCUGGAUUCUUCUCUAGUGAAUUCUAUCAAAGGCUUCAACAGUCUGGAUGUAGGACAAUUUAUGCCUGAACCAAGAUAAGUUUUCUUGUCUCUUUACUUUUCUGUUAUUGCUUUCAUUUGUUCUGUUUUUCAAAUUACUCUAUUUCUGUUCUUAUCGGGUGAGGGUUGGAUGUGAGCGAGUGGUGGUUCUUGUGUGAAAAGUGAUACAAGACUCAACAAACCCUAAACCCAGAACUCAAUAAAAACAUUGAAGGAGAAAGGAGAACUAGAAUAAGUGUUGAUUCAUCAUCUAGGUCUAGAUCUACUUUAUUACAACUACUAUAUGAGGAGGAAGCUAAUUUAGAAAAUUCUGAUGAAGAUGAAGGUGUUGAAGCCUUGCAAGAAGAACAUGAUGAGGAGCAUGACCAUGAACUUGAUUUUGAUAAGAAUUGAUUUGAUGAGAGAUGAGUGUAAAUGUGUAAUUUAAACUCGUAAAAUUUUGAAACACUGCUUUAUGUUAAUAUUUUGUUAUGUUAGACUCAAGACAAAUAGACUAUGAUUUAAAUAUUACUAGUGAUUUAGACUUGGGCUAUAUUUUGUUAUGUUGGACUAUGAUUUGUUAUGUUUGCAAAUUGUAUCCCAUUUUACUUGCUUGUCAUUUUAUAAAUUUGCCUCUUGUUUUGAACCUUGUAUUUGAAAUGACACUUCAUGUUGAUGUUUAGACUCGUGCUUUUUUGAAAUAAUAUUAAUUUAGUUGUUAUUAUAGUAAUAUAAUGUUGGAUAUUUGUUAUUUAUGAUUUUAUUAGUUUGCAUUUACCUUAUACUAUAUAGUGAAAAAAAUUAUGUAUAAGUAUUUUUAUACAAAUUUGGAAUAAGUGUGCACCUCACAUCCAACACCUGUGUCUUGUGCCUCAAGCUCCAAGCACCCUCGGCAACUAUGCACUCUAGGGCCAACCUCACUUUCCAGGCAGUCUCCAAGGAAAGAGGCAGUGGCAGUGUGAAAGGGAAGUAUCGUUCAGACGCAGGCGCAGCUCAUCGCAACAACACGAGACCUGAAAUGCAUCUCAUUGAUUCAAUUGAGCAAUUAAUUCAUGUAAAGAUGGAAGAGAUUCUGAGGUGCCAUGAGUGUAAUGAUCUACAAUAACCCGA